CCUACGGGAGGCAGCAGUGAGGAAUAUUGGUCAAUGGUCGGGAGACUGAACCAGCCAAGCCGCGUGAGGGAGGAAGGUACAGAGUAUCGUAAACCUCUUUUGUCAGGGAACAAAGACUGGGACGCGUCCCCGGAUGAGUGUACCUGAAGAAAAAGCAUCGGCUAACUCCGUGCCAGCAGCCGCGGUAAUACGGAGGAUGCGAGCGUUAUCCGGAUUUAUGGGGUUUAAAGGGUGCGCAGGCGGUCUGUUAAGUCAGCGGUCAAAGCCCGGGGCUCAACCCCGGCCCGCCGUUGAAACUGGCAGUCUCGAGUUGGAGAGAAGUAUGCGGAAUGCGCGGUGUAGCGGUGAAAUGCAUAGAUAUCGCGCAGAACUCCGAUUGCGAAGGCAGCAUGCUGCAGCGGAACUGACGCUGAUGCUCGAAAGCGCGGGUAUCGAACAGGAUUAGAUACCCUUGUAGUC
rnacentral:rRNA from 1 species